AGGACCCCCAGUGUUUCCUCUGAGGGAGCAGAGCACACAAGGGCAGGAAGUCAAGAGACCUGAAACAAGAGACACAGGUACGUUUCAAAACAAAACAGUAAAGACAUAACAAGGAACAUGAGGAAGGGUAAAUAAAUUAAUUUAACUAAACCAGAGACAUGACACAAACCCUUGCGGUCACUAUAGGCAAUCACACCUCCUCUACUUCAGCUAUCACCCGUGGUGUAUCGCAUCUACAUGCUGCCCCUCAGGCAAUUAAUUCAGUGCCACCAAGUGUCCAUUCACUGCUAUGUAGAUGACACAUAGAUAUACUUCCUUUGAGACCUGAGGACCCAAGUGGCCUAGCUGCUGUCAUGGACUGUCUUAGUGACAUUAAUCAUUGGAUGGCAGAAAAUUUCCUUCAACUAAAUUAUUCAAAAUCUGAAAUAAUUCUCUGUAAUAUACAAAAUACCCCCCUCAUACAGUCCUGUCUCGGCCAACAUUUAGUAAUCAUCAAACCAAAUACUCACCCCACCAAAGACAAUCCAUGCUUUUAUUUUCAACGACUGUCACUCUCUCCUACCUGGUCUAAAUAAGAAAUUACUCUCCCACCUUCAACUAGUUCAGAAUGCAGCAGCUAGGCUUUUAACUGGUUUUAGUUGACGGCAUUACAUCAGCCCAAUUUUAGCCUUCCUUCACUGGCUUCCUCUCAGUUUUAGAAUUGAUUUUAUACGAUUUUAUUGAUUACUUUUAAAGCAUUCAAGGGACUUGCACUAAGCUACAUUUCAGAGCUUUUAAUACCUUAAGAGCCAGCUUGCAGCCUCAAAUCUUCCUGGUCGUUCCAAAGUCGAGGCUCAAAACUAAAGGCGAUAGAGCUUUCUCUAUCAGAGCUCCUUGACUUGGAAUGACCUGCCAGAGGAGAUAAGGUGUGCAGAGACAGCUUUUGUUACACUUUUAUUAAGUAACCUUUUAGGCUUUUAAUGUUUUGUUUUUUGUUUUUUUCAUUCAUGUUAUUCUAUCUUAUCAUAGCUAUAUCAUCAUUACUGUUUUAUUUUUAUGUUACUAUCAUUAUUAACUUAACUUUUUAUAUUUGCUAUCUUGUUUUCUGCCUUCAACUCUCUUUUCUUAUUGAAUUUUCUUUUUCUUACUGAUUCUAUGUCUUCAGCUUUUAUUCUGGUCCUCAUGGUCUCAUUUAAUGUUGCAUGGUUCUUGUACUGCCUGGGUUUCUUAUGAGAUAUGAAAAUGGUCUUCAAUUUCAGAGGCCUUGAUUUGUACUUCUUGUUUUCAUUUUUGUGCUAAAGCUCUUGUGCUCUUUCACUUUUGGUCAAAGUACUUUGUUUAUGUCUGUUUUUUUAAAGUGCUUUAUAAAUAAAAGUAAUUAUCAUUAUUAUAAUUAUUACUAUUUCUAUAAAAAAGAGUUUGAUAAAAGAGUAAAGCUAUUACUAAACGGCUGCUGUGGCAACUGCUGAGGGUUUGUAUAAUAUGAUGAGAUUCUUCAGAGAUUUCAAAUAAUGAAUACUAUUAAUACCACUAUUAAAUUAUAUACAAGGAGCACACUUACAACAAACAAUCCUUUAUAAGUAUUUAUUUAUACAAGAAAAAAACAACAAUGUGUGUGUGUGUGUGUGUGUGUGUGUGUGUGUGUGUGUGUGUGUGUGUGUGUGUGUGUGUGUGUGUGUGUUUAUGGGGGGAGUUGUCCCAUUGACUCCAUUGAUUUAAGUACAAAAAUUUUACGUUUUUUUGCGACGUUAGAGGAAUAUUCCAGCGUAAAAUUAAGUUAGGGUCAAACACACUGUUGCCAACUGCUACUAGUUAUACCAAAUAAGCACAAAGUGCUUAUUUCAUCAGUCAGCUCACAUUUUUAACCAAACCUUUGCAACUGGCAUCAUCCCAACUUCCUGGAAAAAUGCAUCUGUAACUCCCCUACAUAAAAAUGGUGAUAUCUCUGACCUCAAUGACCACCGUCCAAUUUCCAAACUUCCCUUUUCAGCAAAAAUCCUGGAAUCAUUGGUUCAUCUUUAAUCUCGUCUUAUCGAUUCAUCAAACAUACUUUCGCCACAACAGUCUGGUUUUCGCCCUGGUCACAGCAUAGUCACAGCCACAGUUUCAGUCUUAAAUGACAUAGUCUCCUUUCUAGAUAGUAAACAGUUUUGUGCUGCUCUUUUCAUUGACCUCUCCAAAGCAUUUGAUACUGUCGAUCAUAAAACCUUACUUCACAAAUUACAGUCCAGAGGUCUAGAUACCUCUUCACUUAACUGGUUCCAUUCUUACCCCUCUGCCAGAACUCAGACUGUUUGUACUGAUGGUUUUCAAUCUAGUUCACUUACUAUCAUAAACAGGGUGCCACAGGGGUCUGUCCUUGUUCCACUGCUAUUUACACUUUACAUCAAUAAUAUUAUUCUACCGAUCCAAUAUUGUAAGGUCCAUUUUUUUGCUAACGACUGUAUUUCAUAUGCAGCCGGUUUAUUUAUUUUUAAUUUAAUCUGAUAAUUCAAUCGUCAACCACUUCUCCGAUUACCAUCUGUCAUAGAGGUAAAGGUGAUGUGGUAUUUCAUUUUACAUGUGAAAUACAUAGUUUAAGUACAAAUUUUUAUAUUUUUUAUUUUUCUUUUGCACUUUUUAACUUUUCUUGAUCCUCUGAAACAGAAUUAUAUUGUUUGUAGACUGUAUAGUGCCGAAAUCCUAGAUGACAGUAAACUGUAGUUUAAAUAUAAGUCAUAUGUUUACUUCCCAGAUACAACAUUAUCAUAUUUGGAGGAAUUGUUGGCUUUUCCAGAAAGGUCAAUUGACUAUUAUUAGAUUUACUCUGUACUGGCUAUGUGUAUGGUCAUGAAGCUAUUAUUAACCAUUCAUUACCACCUUUAUGAGGAGGCAGAGGAUCCCAAUGCUGACAGACCGAAAAAGUGGUUAAAUUUUGGCAGUUGCCUAAAAGUUUUAAUAAACUAGUUAUCUUGUUUAUUUUACUAGUUUUUUUGAGCAGUUAGGGGUUCAGUGUCUUGCUAAAGGACACCUCAACAUGAGUUUGAUAAAGCACAGGGAUUAAAUGGGUAACCCUCCGGUUACAAGAUGGCCACUCUAUCCAAUGACAAAUACAACACCCAACAUGUUAUAAACAUUCAAAGUUUCACAAAGAAAAAUGAAUUGUUCUCAUUAUUCCAUAAUAACUGAUUUCAGAGUACGAGCUGACCAGGGAAUGGAAAAUGUGGACAUUGCCCGUUUUAUGUUCACUGUAUGUGGCAACGAUCUGGGAAGUUUCAUUUCAGUAAAAAGUGUCCACAAUCAAAGGUACAAUCAAUCGUUCACAUGCUGGCAAAAUAUCAUGUUCGUUCAUGUAUUGGGAAAAUAUUAUGUUUUCCUUCAUGGUAAUGCAAUUUUUUGUUGUUGUUGUUGUGCCCCUCUACAGGAUAGAACCGUUAUGGUGAGAUGUGUGGAUCUCUGUGUCAACAAAAUGUUACAACACUCUACACUCUCUAGAAGAAAAUGACAUCCUGGACAUCUCGUGAACAGAUGACCAUUAGUGUGUCCAUUAGUCCACACAUUUCUUUCAAGAAUCAAAAAAGACUUUGAGAUCUUCACUGAUGGCUUGAACCACCAUCUAAUCUGCACUGAAGGAAACUGAAGUCUGAUAAUAAUCAUAAUAACUUUAUUUGUAUAGCACUUUUAAAAAAACAGAUGUUUACGAAGUGCUUUGACAUGUAGUCGUAUAGCACAUGGAAAAAGACAAAUAAAAACAAAAAGCUCGGUAAAAAUGGAAUUGAAGGCCAUUUUCAUGUCAUAAGGAACCCAGACAAUACAAGAACCAUGCAACAUAAAAUGUGACCAUGAGGACCAAAACAAAAACAUAAAAUAGUUAAGAAAAAAAGGAAAAUGCAAUUAAAAGGGAGGACAAAGCGGAAACAGGAUACUAAAUAUAAAAG